UACAGAGGGUGCGAGCGUUGUCCGGAAUCACUGGGCGUAAAGGGCGCGUAGGCGGCUUGAUAAGGUUGCGGUGAAAGCCCGGGGCUCAACCCCGGGUCGGCCGUGGCAACUGUCGAGCUGGAGCACUGUAGAGGCAGGUGGAAUUCCGGGUGUAGCGGUGGAAUGCGUAGAGAUCCGGAAGAACAUCAGUGGCGAAGGCGGCCUGCUGGGCUGUUGCUGACGCUGAGGCGCGACAGCGUGGGGAGCAAACAGGG
rnacentral:rRNA from 1 species